ensembl:lncRNA
AUGGGUCUCCUGAACUCCGGACCCCAGGCUGGAGGGUCUGAGGGAACAAUACCUGGGCUCCUGGGGUGGGGGAUCCGGAUCGCCUCCAGGGGAGGGGGCGUUCUGGACUUACGCCCCCGCCCCCAGCCGAGGGGUGCCCCCCUCCCCUACCUCCCUAUUGACGGCGCCCAGCUUGGGCUGGGCCCUCCCCCGGGCCGCAGCGGCGGAACCGGCGCGCUAGGCCCGCAGGUCGCGAGGCCCCCUCCCAUCGCGCCCCACGCUCUGCUCUCCCCGGGCGGGCGGGCGCGCGGGGCGGCGGCGUGGGGUAGGACAGAGGUCGCCCCGGGCCGCGCCCCGCGCUGGGGGCCCCCCGCGCCCGCCCCCCUCAUCGCAGCCCCCGCCCGCCCGGCCCGCUCGCGGGGACACUCACCCGGCGCCCCUCUCCCCUGCCCGGCCCGCCGCGCCCGCCGGCGCCCCCGGGGCCCGCAGGAAGCCCCCCGCCCGCCAGCCCCGCCGGCGGCCCCCUCGGCCCUGCGGCCCCGCCAGGCGCUCCCGGGGAGCGAGAGGGGCUGGCCGAGGGCCGCAGCGGGGGCUGCUGGGACUUGUAGUUCGCCCGCGCCCGCCUCGGCCGUCGCCAUCGCUGCCCCCGCCCCCCGGGCCAGCCUUUGUCCCGGCCGGGCCACCCGGCCUCGCGGCCGCGCCUUUGUCUGCGCCGGGCUCCGCCCGCGCUGUCCCCGCCGCUGCCUCUCCUCUUCUGCUUCUCUCCCAGCCGCUCUUGAUCCCUCUCCGCCCCUGUCUCUCUCUCUGUGUCCCUUCUCUGUUCCUCCGUCCCUUUAUUUCCAUGUCUUGGCCUCUCUUGUCACUUUCUCUGCCUCCAUCCCUCUGUCUCUGCAUCCUCCUCCUCUCUCUCCCUGUCUCUGCCUCCAGCCCGUGUCUCCGACUCUGUCUCUCUUUCUCUCUCUCGUUUCCAGGAACACCGAACAGUCUCUGUCUCUUGCAGACGGGAAACACACAUCAGCAUAG